rnacentral:tRNA from 1 species
CGGCACGUAGCGCGCAGCACGGUAGCGCACCGUCAUGGGGUGUCGGGGGUCGGAGGUUCAAAAUCUCUCGUGCCGA